CCAGGCUCGCACUGGUUUUGCCAAGGUGUGCUUGCGUGAUUCUUGCGCUCUUAAACUUUUGUUGCUUUUACCUAAGGUGCACUGACUUUGUCCUUGAAAUAUUUAACUGUGCCUCCUAAGCGUCCGAUGCCAUGUCCUGGGCCACCAGCCGAGCGGCAGAACCGCUUGAAAAAAAGUUGGAAAUUAUAAACAGCGCUGCAUCAGCCGACGGUAACCCAGCUCUGGGGCGCUACUGCCGGGAACAGAAUCUUGCCUUCAAAGUUCUUUUGUUGCUUUGACAAUGCGCCAGCCCAUCCUAAACAUUUGGACAACAUUAAUCGUAAUAUAAAAUUGUGUUUCCUGCCGCCUAACACAGCAUCGCUGAUUCAGCCACUCGACCAAGGUGUGAUCCACAUUCAAGGCUUUUUUUUUAUGGCGAAUUAUCUCUCAGAUGCUGCGAGCAACAGAUGAUUUUGAAAAUUCCGGGAGUUUACCAACGGUGAGGGAAUGGUGGAAGUGGGAACACUUGGCGCAAAUGGCGAUGGGCAUGGACCCAAGUUUAGAAUGGAGUCAGCAUUUCCGUCGUUCCCGGCCGUCAACCCUUCUUCCCUACAAGCAAAUUUAUGCUGAAAACCAAAAUGCUGCCAAGCAGACAACUCUCACCACUUUCUUCAAACCGGUGUCAUCUCCUGCUGCCAGCAGUUUUAAGAGUUCUGAGAGCUUUCCUUCACCCCAUGCUGUGCUUGAUGAUCCUGACGACCCACAACCAUCUAACUUAUCCAUGUAACGCUGCCAGACACCACAACAACCACUCAUCCCCUGGAGCCAACAUACCUGCCACUGUUGAUUUUAGGAUUGAUCCAGUUCCAGAAGUUGGGAAAGACCGGAUGAAGAGAAUCCAGGCUGCAAGGAUUUGAAGUUGUAUGCAAUUUGCAGGAAGAAAUUUAGCCCCCGUGGGGACUUUGCUUGUUACAGCAGGCUGCAGAACCAGUUCGCCCCCGAUCAAAGUCGAUUAAAAUAGCCAUGAGAAAAGAAGUGACUAGAAACUAGAGUGUCCAAACCGCAUCGAUUAAACCGUGCCCGAGACCCAACACCCUGGCACCAUCCGCUGGCAGCAGUGACUGAGAGGGAGAGAGAGAGACUGUUCAAAUACAGGCGCCUUCCUCCAAGAGCAGCAAGCGAGCGAGAGGAGAGACCGAUCAAACGCAGCAGCGAGUGAGAGGAAGAAGGGAGAGAGAGACGUUUCUGAGGCAUCGCCUCAAUAGUAUGACUGAGUGAAAAUAAAAAUCAGGAGAGAUUGCCCUAAGUCAAGGUGACCCCCAUCAUUCUUCAUGUUGUAAACAGCACACAUUGGUUUAUGUUACCUUGCAACAGCUGUACCAUUCUCAAUGUACUUUGGGAUGUUGUGUAUGCAUUAUGUGACAAGCGACAACGUCUGAACCUAUGUCAAGCCAAGUCAACUCAAGUUUAUUGUCAUUUAACUAUAUGCAUGUGUACCAUCAACAUUUCUCCGGACCAGGGUGUAACACACAGUAGUACACAUAACACACAAUAACUUAUGAAAGUAAGUAUGAAAUUUACAGAUGGAUUACACAUAAGUAAACAAACUAAAGUGCAUAAAUUAAAUAUUGUAAGGUACAGAACAGAUUAACCAGUGACACUUUGAAUGCGAUGCGGCAGGGAGUUCUGAAUCCUAACGGCCUGAGGGAAGAAACUGUUUCCCAUCCUGACCGUUCUUGUCUUUCUUCAUCGGAGUCUCCUGCCUGAUGGUAGAAAGUCAAAGAGGAUGCUGGAUGGACGGGUGGGAUCCUGAUAAUACUAAGGGCCCUGUGUACGCAGCGCUCCUGAUAAAUGUCCCCGAGGGACGGUAGGGAGACCCCACGAACCUCUCGGCCGUUCUCACAGUCCUUUGUAGGGACUCCCGGUCCGAUGCUUGGCUGCUCCCACACCAGAUGGAAAUGCAACUGUCAGGGUGCUCUCAAAGGUGCUCCUGUAAAAUUCAGCUAAAAUGGGGGGAAUUCCUGGCUUUCCUCAAUCUUCUUGGGAAGUGGAGGCUGCUGUGCCUUCUAAUUCGGGGAGGUGAUAUUGAGGGAUCAGGUGAGGUUAGCUGUGAUGUGAACUCACAGGAACUUGGUGCAUGUAACUCUCUCUACAGAGGCACAAUCUCAGGCAGCAAUAACGCUUUUUAUCAUUUCGCAGAGUUGGAGAUGUAAUUGAAUUGGUUACGAGGAGGCAUGGUAGGGUCUCAGCCCAAAACAUCGAUUGCUUAUCAUUUCCAUAGAUGCUGCCUGACCUGCUGAAUUCCUUCAGCAUCCCCUGAUCAAUCAAACAUCUAUCAUAACUUUAUCCGAUAUUCUGAAUCACCACUUAGAACCCAACCCUUUAAUUGCUUUGUUUGGUUUUUUGGGUGAGACAGAUAUACGUUUGAGUUCGACUAAGUGUCGAAUAUUAUCUUUUGCUUCUCUCCUGGCUAGACGUUUAAUCCUCUGUAGAUGGAGAGAUGUUGCCCCGCCCACGCAUGUUCAAUGGCUUAAUGAUAUUAUGUCCUGCUUAGACCUUGAAAAAAUUCAUUAUUCAGUUCUUAAUUCGGAUUUAAAGUUCCCUAAGGUCUGGGGACCUUUUAUUGAGCACUUUCAUAACCUUCCUCUUAAUUAAAGAUUUUUUUUCGGUCCCUUGCUUUCAGCUCUUUUUUUUUGGUAGUAGGCAUUAUUAUCUUCUGUUUUCAAAUUUAUUUACAAUUUUGGGGGUUUGAAUGUCCUGAUUUAUAUUCUCUAUAUUGUGUUGUGGUUGGUCUGGAGUGUUUUUUUUGCUGUGGGGCUUGGGGAGGAUACUAACAUUAUAUGACUUCAAUUUGGGUGCUUUCUCAAUGAUCUUUUUUGUAUUACAUUAUUAUUGUAUGUUUAUUUUUGCACUGUAUUAAUUUUCUUCAUUCUGGU